rfam:Hordeum vulgare subsp. vulgare, WGS project CAJW01000000 data, contig: morex_contig_41866
CAUGUACUUCCACCGUCCAAAAUUUUUGUCUUAGAUUUGUGUAUAUAUGAAUAUAUCUAGUCACAUUUUAGUAUUUAGAUACAUUCAUUUCUAUACAAACUUAAGACAAAAUUUUUGGGACGGAGGGAGUACUUU